GAUCAUGGCUCAGGAUGAACGCUGGCGGCGUGCUUAACACAUGCAAGUCGAGCGAAGCACUUAAGUUCGAUUCUUCGGAUGAAGACUUUUGUGACUGAGCGGCGGACGGGUGAGUAACGCGUGGGUAACCUGCCUCAUACAGGGGGAUAACAGUUAGAAAUGGCUGCUAAUACCGCAUAAGACCACAGUACUGCAUGGUACAGUGGUAAAAACUCCGGCGGUGUAAGAUGGACCCGCG
rnacentral:rRNA from 1 species